rnacentral:misc_RNA from 1 species
UCCGGUUUGACACCGGCAGUCUCGCUAGAGUCCCCGACAUGACUCGCUGGCAACUAGCGACAGGGGUUGCGCUCGUUAAGGGACUUAACCCGACACUUCACAGCACGAGCUGACGACAGCCAUGCAGCACCUGUGCACGUUCCACCCAAAGGGCGUCACCACCGUUUCUGAUGGCUAAUCCGUGCAUGUCAAACCCUGGUAAGGUUCUUCGCGUUGCUUCGAAUUAAGCAACAUGCUCCACCGCUUGUGUGAGCCCCCGUCAAUUCCUUUGAGUUUUAGCCUUGCGACCGUACUCCCCAGGCGGUGCACUUAACAAUUUCUCUCCGGCCAUGACGGCGUCAAAACCGCCACGGCCUAGUGCACAUCGUUUAGGGCGUGGACUAC